AGGACUUAAGAACAGGAGUUCGCCAUUCAACCCCUCAAGUCAUUCAUGAACAGAUUUCUUUCAAGAAUGGAAAAACCACCUUUUAAACAAGUUCAGACAUGUGGACCCUGGGAUCUAAAGGAGCGCCUCGGAACAGGAGGCUUUGGACAUGUUUAUAUGUACGAGCAUAAGAACACUGGAGAAAGGAUUGCUGUUAAAGCCUGUCGCUUGGAGUUGAGCACAAGAAACAAAGAAAGGUGGUGCCAUGAGAUUCAAAUUAUGAAAAAGU